CGUGACCUCCCGCCGGGUGCGGGCCGCGCUCUCCCACCUCACAAAGGUUUCUCCACACCGGAAGCUCUUGGCCUUGGGAGUGCUUGGGACGAGGGCAGCGUCAGCUCUAGCCCUGGGAACGAGUGACUGGGCCGGAACCCCGGGAAGACGAAAGUGCAAGGCCGCAGGGUGAGAGAUCUCCAGGGAGCUGCCAAAUCGAGGGCCUGCCUCCACGUUCCAGAGGAGGGUUCCACUUCCCGGGGGCCUGAGGGGGGCCAAACCCCGAGGCUUCGCUUCGCCCAGCGCCUACAACCCCCGAGGACGCAGGAGUAAUAACUGCCAUUUAACAAAGCUUUUCCUUUUAAUCAGGUGGGAACCCCAUCCAGAGGCUCUGAGGCCAUCACCACAAUCACACCCGCCAUCACCUCUCUCUCUCCCACUUUUGAGUAUUUAGACUGUUGGAUGGCAUAGUGAAAAGAGAUUUGCAGAGGGCUCAUGAAUGUCCUGUAUCAUACCAUGGACCUCAGAGGCAAAGCUGGAAAAGGCUGUUGAAGGCCAGCAUCUCUGUGGGAUCCUCAGCAUGGGAUUUUACACAAGUUUGGAGGAAAUGGUUUCCCAAGCCCAGAGUUGUCACCGCAGCCCAGAUAAGCUUGACCAGUCCAUCCUCUCCUCCCUCUCUCUGCCCCCUUGGCUAAGAUUUUUGCCCAUCUCCUGGAGCCUUUCCAAGGGUUGCACAGGGGAAGCAUGGCCCAACCUCAGGAACUUUGGCUUGGGGGCUAUAAACACAUCCACAGAAGAACUCAGCCUCCAGGCAAUUCUCCCUGGCUUCUUGGCUUCAGUGAAGAAGUCCUGGCUUGUCUCUGGGUGUACACCGACGUCACUCCUGGCUGGCUCCAGGCCCAGGCCGGCAUUUUUUUUGUCGCUAUAAGGACAGCUUCCCUCACCCCAGCUGGGGCCCAGCGACCCCUUUCAGGCAGCUGCCUUUGGAUUUGCUUCCUGUCUCCAGCUCCUCAGCUUCUGAAGACAAUGUCCGGCCAGACCUAGUGCCAACACAGGGCAGCAGGGUUGGGGAGCAGAGAGAAGCUUCACAUUGCAAGCCCUUACAUGGGAAGUGGCUGCGGAGAUGCCUGCCGGCCACAAUCUGCAGCAGCCCCUUGACUAGCUUGUUGUGCCCCAGGCAGCGUUGUCUCUGUCCCCAGCGUGUCUGCCACUUUCAAGUACAAAAGAGCCCAAGGAGAGCAUGCUGAGGGAGAGGGCAGAGGUUCUCAGCCCCGCAUGCAUCCCCCACAGGGCGGCUGACAAGAGGAGGGUUGCUGGUCAGGGUCCCAAAGGGCGGCAGAAUGGAGCCCACAGAGUCUGGCCCUAAUCUCAGUUUGAUACUUCAGGAAGGACUGCAAUGAGAGGCACAGAUGUAAGGUUCACCCCCAGGGAAAGGUCCUGGACCACUUCUUACAUGGAAGAUGAGUACCAGCAGCAACCCCUGGAGGUGUGUCACCUGUAGACCCACGGGUGUGCGGGCUGCAGAUGCAACUGGCAUUUGCAGAGUAUUUUCAGCAAGGGGACCCUGGGAGGAGGAUCCACCUCCAUUUCCCCAUCCACUUUCAUUUCAACUUUUGCCCCGGCCUCAGCUUUACCCAGGCAGUGGUCCGAGGAAAGAUAAGCUCUUUUCGGGAUCCCUGGGUGGCGCAGCGGUUUAGCGCCUGCCUUUGGCCCAGGGCGCAAUCCUGGAGACCCGGGAUCGAGUCCCACAUCGGGCUCCCAGUGCAUGGAGCCUGCUUCUCC